AAUUAUACCACCCAAGCACGGCUCGCCCUAAACUUUUCCAAUCUUUUUCUCCGAAACCAGAAUCUCUCUUUCUCUCUCUAUCUUCUCCUGCUUGGAUGGAGGUGAGAGCCUCCAUCGAAAAAGCAAAUUCCGUAUAUAUAACUAUCAAUAUACAUAUUAUACUUCAAAACCCCCUAAUUUUUGAAAAAAAAAAAAAACCAAAAAAUUGAAACUUGCUUGGAAUUGAAGAGAAUUGUUUAGAGAUUCAGGAAAGAUGUUUACGUGGAGUAUUGCAAAGUCGGCGGAGGCGAUGUUCUCCCGGUUGGCGAUAAAGAGGUUGUGUAAAUUCUUGUUGAAGAAAAAAUUAGGAAAAUUUAUACUGGGAGAUAUUGAUCUAAAUCAGCUAGAUGUCCAGCUCAGCGCCGGCACCAUUCAGCUCUCCGAUCUCGCAGUCAACGUCGACUAUAUAAACCAGAAGUUCAAUGUAGCAACUGUUUCUGUGAAAGAGGGAUCUAUUGGCUCAUUAGUGGUAACUAUGCCUUGGAAGGAUGGUGGCUGUGAAAUUGAGGUGGAUGACCUUGAGAUCGUGCUCACUCCUCGUCAGACAAAUAUUUUUCAAGAUGAAUCAGAAACUAGCAGUUCCUGUCAAAGUAAGAAGAAUUAUUCCAGCCAUCAUUGUAGAAAGCUUGAGAAUGAUGCAGUUAAUGGAGGAUUGGAAAAUGCUUCUGUUGAUGUUCAUGAAGGAGUCAAAACCAUUGCCAAGAUGGUAAAAUGGUUGUUGACUAGUUUUCAUGUGAAAGUUAAAAAUCUGAUUGUAGCUUUUGAUCCCUCUAUGUGGGAAGAAAUGAAAGAAGGAUUAUGCAGAACUGCAGUACUUCGAAUUUCUGAGGUAGAGUGCAGAACACAAAUUUCUGAAGAUGCUUCUUCUAACAGUGGAAAUGCACAACGUGACUUUCUUGGUUUAAAUCAAUUGAUAAACUUUGUAAAAUUCGAGGGAGCAGCGAUUGAAUUACUACACAUGGAUGAUGUUGAUCAGACACCUCCUCAAUGUUCUCCUGUGACACCUUAUGGUGACUGGUUUUCAGGAAACCAUUCGUUUGGUUCCAUGACUACAAUUAUUACUGGGGAAAAAGGAGGUUUUUCUGGGAAUCUUAAAUUAAGCAUACCUUGGAAAAAUGGUUCUUUGGAUGUCCACAAAGUGGAUGCAGAUGUUCAUAUUGAUCCACUAGUAUUAAGAAUUCAGCCUACCACCCUCAGAUAUUUCAUUUGUAUUUGGAAUUUGUUUAAAGGUAUGGGUGCAAAGAGUGAAGGUCACAGUGGAGCAUCGAAUAGCCAUUCAUCAAAUCUGGACUCUUGUCUACUUGCUUUUUGCAAGGAGCCAUUAGGCAAUGAAGGCUUUGAUACUGGAUGUAGUCCUUGUGCAGAGAAAGAAUUUGCAACAAAUGCUCUGCUAUCAGAGUCACCUCUUAUAUCAGAUUGGGUGAGUAAAAAACAGAAGGACAAAACUGAAGAAGAAACAGACUUUGAGGCAAGCAUGGACCAGUUCUUUGAAUGUGUUGAUGAACUGAGAAAUUCACAGUCUGCUUUAGGGAACAGUGCUGUGUGGAACUGGACAGGUUCUAUGUUCAGUGCAAUAACUGCUGCAUCAAACCUUGCCUCUGGAUCUUUACAUGUUCCCUCAGAACAGCAGCAUGUUGAAACCAACUUUAAGGCCGCGAUUGAUAAAAUCUCUCUCCUUUUUUCCUUCACUGAUGAAGACCAGAAGGAUUCCUGGAAUGCGAAGGAUGCUCAGGCUAAUGAUGAUUAUCAGUUUCAUUAUUUAUGUGCAAAGUUCACAGAUCUAUACUUUAUAUUCCAGGCAUCUCCUCGAGAAACGAAUUUUGAAGCGACAGUGUAUCAUAUCGAACUCGUUGAUCACUUUCGGGCUAAGAAUGACUUGAUGGAUCCUAAGUUUCAUGGUCUCGAUUUCAAUUUGGAAAGUCAGAUGAUUUUGAUCCAACAAAUGCAAAAUGGUGUUCAAAGCGCUCUUCAAAAUUUUUGUGCAUCAAGCGAAGAUGCUUUCGAUCAUCCUUAUAAUUAUGGUGCUGAUUUCCUGCCAAAUAUCCAGAACUUGGAUGGUUGUUGUCAUGUGGCAAACAGAAAAGAAGUUAUCAGUGUAACUUUUCUUAAAACCUCAGGUGUCGGUCAGGGCCAAAUCACAAUGAACUCACUAUCGUCUGACAGCUCACUUAUGGGGCCUACGUCUUUUUCCUUGAAGCUGCCCCGAUUUAUUAUCUGGGUGAAUUUUGGUUUACUUAGUACGCUGUUAAAUUUUAUGAAAGAAAUGGAAAAUUGUAUUGAAACAACAAGCGUAGGGAAUUCUUAUCCAUCCAAGUUGCAAACAAACAAAUUUUUGGGGGAGUCUAGAAAAGAAAGUCUGAGGGGUAAUGUAUUCCUCCAAGAUGCAAGGAUAAUACUAUGUUUCCCUUUCAAGGGGGGUGAAUAUUCUAAUAGCUACAUUUUUUGUGACCAGUUUAUUGCUAUUGACUUCUAUUCGCCAACUCUUGGAGGUAAAGAAGUUCGAGCUGCUAAGCCAAUGCCUGCCCCCACUAUUCCCAAGAAAAGAUAUGUUGUGGCAGCAUCAUGCUCCCUACAUUUAAAUUUUCCUGACCUUCAUGUCUACUUCAUUACCUCAGCCUUGAAGAAGAAUGUUGAAUGUGGAUUCUGCAGUGGGCUUGAGCCCAGCUUUUCUGUUGAUAAUAUUAUGUCUAUCACUCAAGGAACUGGCUGUCAGUCAGUCAUUAGUAUGUUUUGGCAGGAGGGUAUCAGGAGUGUUCCUGGUAUGGCAAAGAAAGCGAAGCUUUUUGCUGAGAAUACAGAGAGAGAAGAUAACUUUAUGGGAAGGGACCGUGAGUUUGCUUCUGUGACCACUGUUAAGAAUAUGGCGGACUUUGAUACUUCUACUAAACCAGAGAUUAUUUCAAGCUCUAGAUUUUUUUUGCAUGCACAUCUCUCUCCUGUUACAAUCAAUCUUGCCAAAUCUCAUUACGAGAACUUACAUGAUCUCACACAUCAGGUGAUCGAUUGUUUCUCAUGCAUGGUUUCUGAUCCAGGUGGCAUUAACAAAGAAAUCCCUCUGUUUCAAACAUCCAUUUUAGUGGAAUGUGACUCUGUAACAAUUUCAGUUACUGCAGAAGCAGUAGGGAAUGUCAAGCCUUCCAUCCAGUAUGAACUUCCCGGUUCUUGGCAUAGUUUUGUUCUCCAAGUUCACAGGUUUGAGUUGCUGUCUGUAGAAAAUAUUGGUGGAAUAAGGAGUGCCAGCUUCCUACGUGUGUCCCAUGGUCAGGGAAAUAUGUGGGGUUCUAUUACGGAAGGUCUACCCAAAGAGUUUCUUCUGAUCUCAUGCAGUGACUCUUCCAUGGGGCGUGGUGAUGGAGAAGGUUCAAAUGUAUUGUCUUCUAUGCAUUCAGGUACCGACUUUGUACUCUUCUGGGAUCCCGAGAGCAACAAGAAUUAUACUUCCAUUACUGUAAGAUGUGCCACUAUUGUGGCAAUAGGUGGUCGCCUGGAUUGGUUGAAUACAAUAAUCUCCUUCUUCAGUUUGCCAUCUUCUGAAUUGGAACAAGCUGGUGAUAACAGUCCGAGCCAGACCCAUGGAUCUUCUUUUCUUCUUAACUUGAUCGAUAUCUGUUUGAGUUAUGAGCCAUACCUGAAAAAAUUAGAGGCUGAAGAUGACCUCGAUCCCGUAUCUUCUCCACAGAAAAUCAAUGAAGUUAUACCUGAGCAGUAUGUUGCCUGUCUGUUGGCUGCAUCUUCCUUUAUACUUUCUAAUAGAACAACUGUUGAUUGUACUGCUGCGGACUAUAAAAUUAUACUGCAAGAUCUAGGUCUACUUCUUUGUUCAUUAUCUGAGUCGAAAGUUAUUGGUAAUACUUACAGUGUAGAACAUCUUAGCAAGAUUGGCUAUGUUAAAGUUGCACAAGAGGCACACGUUGAAGCACUUGUACGGACAAACUGUCAGAAUGGCCACAUGUGGGAAGUGGAAUGCACAGAUUCUCACAUCGAUUUGAAUACAUGCCAUGAUACUGCUUCUGGUUUAAUUAGAUUGGCUGAUCAACUCCAGAAACUGUUUGCACCUGAUAUGCAAGAAUCAAUUGUUCACUUGCAGACAAGGUGGAAUAAUGUCCAGCAGGUGCAUGACAACAAUGAUGGUUGCACCUUGAGUACCAAUUUUUCUCCACCAGUUUCUGAGAUGUGUGGUCCAAGUGUAGAUAGACAGAAUAAACGAGGCCCAGUCAACUUGAUGGAUGAAAUUUGUGAAGACGUAUUCCAUCUAGAUGGAAACUCCGAUGGCCAAGCUAAAUUUUUUGAAUCACGUCUCUGUGCAGUAGGUGCUGGUAGUUCCCUUGAUGAACAAUGUAAUUUAACAGUCAAUGGCUCUUCAUAUAAUUUGCCUCUUGCUGGAUCUGUGCCUGUAGUUGGACUGGAAGCUGGUGGUGCACCAUUACAGGAAAACUUUCCUGAGUUGAUAGAGGAAUAUAUCUUGUCAGAUUUGCGUCCCUUCUCAGAACUGACUUUGAAAAGCCAGCCACCAAAUGAUAUUCUUAAAUGCAAGACUGGUGCCAAAGAAGAAGCACAAAUCGGAAAUGGUCGAUGGUAUGGGGAAUCCUCAUUAAGAAUUUUGGAAAACCAUGUUUCAAAAGUCAAUGAGCAGACUAAUGUCCCGCAACUUGUAGAAGGCGAGUCUUCUAGCAGUGAUACUGAAUAUGAUGACUGUAGGAAAGUCGUAGGUUGCGUACUUCUUAAGAACAUGAACAUCAUUUGGAGAAUGUAUGCCGGUUCUGACUGGUCCAACUCUGAAAGAACUGUUCAGCAGUAUGCAAAUAACAAUGGGAGGGAUACAACUAUAUCUUUAGAGCUUGAGUUGUUCGAAAUAGGUUUCCAAUAUGAUGUUUUUACCGAUGGUGGAAUAUGUGCAUCUAGACUUGCUCUCUCUAUUCAAGACUUCUGCCUUAAUGACAACAGCCGUAAUGCGCCAUGGAAGCAGGUGCUUGGUCUUGAUCAUUCAAAAAAAUAUCCGAGGAAGUUCUCCUCAAAAGCAUUAAAGCUGGAUAUGGAAGCUGUUAGACCAGACCCUUCAAUCCCCUUGGAAGAAAACCGGUUAAGCAUUGCUCUACUUCCUUUGCGUCUGCAUCUGCAUCAGAAUCAGCUUGAUUUUCUCAUUAGCUUCUUUGGGGGAAAAAGCUCACAAGCUGAUUUAUCCCAGAGUGCUACUUCUCCAGGACCAAGUGAAAGAGGAAAGUCAACAAAGAAGAGUGCAAUUCUAGGAAGCAAUCCCAUCAGUGAUGAGGCAUUUCUUACUUAUUUUCAGAAAUUUGAUAUUCAGCCCGUCCUCAUUCGAGUUGAUUACUGUCCACACCAUGUCGACUUGGCUGCAUUAAGGGGUGGGAAGUAUGUGGAACUUGUUAACCUAGUACCUUGGAAGGGGAUCGAGCUACAACUGAAACAUGUCCAGGCAGUUGGCGUUUAUGGCUGGGGCAGUGUUUGUGAAACAAUAGUUGGGGAUUGGUUGGAAGAUAUUUCUCAAAACCAGGUUCAUAAACUGUUAAAAGGCCUUCCUCCUAUUCGGUCAUUGGUUGCUGUUGGCUCGGGUGCUGCAAAGUUGGUGGCUGCACCUGUGAAGAGCUACAGGAAGGAUCGUAGAUUACUGAAAGGAAUGCAAAGAGGUACAAUAGCUUUUCUUAGAAGUAUUUCACUUGAAGCAAUUGGGCUAGGAGUUCAUCUGGCGGCAGGAGCUCAUGAUGUCCUCCUCCAGGCUGAGUAUAUUCUCACAAGCAGUCCACCUUCGGUACCAUGGCCUGUUGAAAACAGGAUGACUACCAAUGUGAGAUCAAAUCAGCCCAAUGAUGCUCGACAAGGAAUUCAGCAGGCUUUUGAAAGCAUAGGCGAUGGACUUGGCAAAUCAGCCUCUGCUUUAGUACAAACUCCCUUGAAAAAAUAUCAGCGUGGUGCUGGUGUAGGAUCUGCUUUGGUAACUGCCGUCCAGGGUGCUCCUGUAGCAGCUAUAGCUCCCGCAUCUGCUGUUGUACGUGCAGCGCAUUGUGCUUUUCUUGGCUUCAGGAACAGCCUUGACCCUGAGCGUAAGAGAGAAUCUUUGGAGAAACACUUGGGGAGAAGCCUGUCUCCGAAGAAUUCAAACAAUAGAUGUGAACCAAUAUCAUAUUGAUGGAAAAGCAAGCAUUCAGUCCCAUCAGAGUCAAUCUAAUGUCCCAUAGUUGCUGAGGAGAAUAAAUAAUUUUGAACCCCUCUAUUGGGAUGUUAUGGUGACUACUCUUUGUAUCAUGACCUGCAUUUCAUUCAGGUGUAGAUAAUGUGCAUAUAGGAAGCCGGUUACCAAUAUUUUUUUCAUCAGAGGACAAAUCUGAAAGUGAUGUAAAUACGCAGUUAGGAUUUUAGGUUUUAGCGCACAAAAUUCUACCUUGUAAAUACUGUUGUUUUAUCGACAUAUUUAGCCUUCUUCUGUUGUAAUAUGUGUACCAUAGUUUUGAUCCCCCCUAAAAAAAAUUAUGCUUUAUAAGUUUGUUUGAAAUGAUUCACCAUUGUAUAAUCUUAGUCAAGGAUCACAUUCUUAACUGAUGAUUUUGUAUAAUAUAUUUCAGUUUUAGUACUAAUUUUUUUUAGGAACC